rnacentral:rRNA from 1 species
UACGAAGGGUGCAAGCGUUAAUCGGAAUUACUGGGCGUAAAGGGUGCGUAGGCGGUUGUUUAAGUCUGUCGUGAAAUCCCCGGGCUUAACCUGGGAACUGCAGUCGGGACUGUCUAGCUAGAGUAUGGGAGAGGGAAGUGGAAUUUCAGGUGUAGCGGUGAAAUGCGUAGAUAUCUGAAGGAACAUCAGUGGCGAAAGCGACUUCCUGGACCAAUACUGACGCUCAUGUGCGAAAGCGUGGGGAGCAAACAGG